ACAGGCAGGGUCAGCCUAUGGUGGGCCAGAGCACACCAUAGCUCCCUGUGUCCCCCACACCUGGGCUUCUGUUUUGCAGAAGUGCAGCAAAGAUGAGAGGAUGAGUGGGUAUCGGUGGGUCCCAGUGGGUUGAGGUACCUAGCAAGACCCGGGAAUUUGGAUGUUUUCCCAGGUUCUCACACCAGGAAUAUCAGGGACACAAAAGGCUUGCUCCAGGUUACACAAGAAGUCUGUGGUGGAUUAGGCUGGCUUCUAAACCAGUACUCAAACAACCAGAUUUACAUGGUACUGGGAGAACACACCAUUCACAGUGGGCAGCAUGUGGAUAAGGUAGAGGAGGGAAUGAUCAGCCAGUGAUUGUGCAUACAAAGGGCCAUUACUCAUUAUUUACUAACUCAAUGUCCAACCUGUACCUGCUGUUGCAACAGCGUGUGCUUUAAUCAUAUUAGAAAAAUUGCACUUCUGCUUCCAAAAUCAAUUUCAUGUAGAUGUUGCUGCCAUUAUAUACAAGGCCAGAUCCUCAAUACGGCAAUCAGAAGAGUUCUGUUGACUUUGGAGAAGAUGUAAUGAUUCAUAUCUGCUGGGGAGCUGAUCCUCAAUCACAGAACGUUGAGAUAAGAGAAAAUGUUGAGCUGUGAUGACUGAGCAGCAUCUUGAGAAUGAUUAACAGGCUUCCUUUCUGGGGGGGAUGGGAGAAAUACAGUCUAUGUGCAGAGAGGCGGCACCCAUCAUAAAUAGUAAUUAAAUCCCACGUGAGCUUUAUUUUGAAGGUGUAAGUGGAAUAAAAACAGUGCAUAGGAGAUAAUUUUAUGAGUAGGCUUUGAUCUGUUUAGAACAUGGUGGACUCAAGUCGGAAAUUUGGGAAGACUGAAUUAAAAUGCAACACCUAACACAAAAAUAAAAGGUUGCUGUGUAUCAUGAAGGGACACCCACCGCAUAUACAAAGCAGAGGAAAAAAAGUUGUCCAUCAUUACCUUGUUUCCCUGAGCAAAUGGCAGCAUUUUACUGCAGGACACACCAGGAGCAGGAAGCUCACCCCAAGGUUGAUAGAAAUUUCCUUUAGGAUGUGUCUGCCAGCUUACAAAGGGGGAUUGGCAGCCUCCCUCCCCCAGUUGCCACCCCAGCUGGAAUAUCACACCCCGGCGGUAGCUCUCGGGGGACAGCAGUGAGCCAGCAUGUGCAACAACUGUUUGAAGGGGGCAUUAAAGCAUGUCAUAAAAGCUUGCAGCCAGAAGCAAGACAGGAAUGUUUUCAUGAGGCAUCCAUAGGUUAUGAAGUGCUGGGUGUGCAGACAGCUAUUAAAUACAAGUCAGAGAGCAAAGCACUCACAAAACACAGGAAACCACAUGUUCAUUUCUUCUCAAGAAGCCAAGAGAGCAGAAAGGCAGCGUCCCAGGCAAAGUCCUUGUCCCCUUUCUCUCAUGUCAAGCAUUCAGGUUGGCUCCUGCUGUGGAUCCGCUGCUCAUGCACGGGAGUGCAUGGCAGUAACUGGCCAGUGCCAGGUGACAUUGAUGAAGGGAUGGCUAUGUGAUCAGCUGUAGGGUGCUCCUCCUCCCCUCCAGGAUGAGGCAGUGAUGCUGCCUGUGUGGCCAUGUCCAGGAAACCAGGAGAAAUUGGCUUGAAGGAAAUAGACCUGUUUUAAAUUGCCAGGGUCGGCUCUUCAGAUGGGCAGCCUGGAAAAGUCAUUGCAGCUACACCAGUAUAAGGGACCUACUCCUAAUUUUAUGGAUGUUUACACGCUGAGUUUUGUAGCAAUCCACCAGGACUGAUUACCUAUCCAUGCUGGAAAUGGAGGGUCAAGAAAUUAGAAUUUUGCUUUGAAUACCACCAUUCCUUGUGGCAUAUCUGUGACUGCAGCUGAGCAACCCACCUUCGAUUUCCUCUACUCCAAACUAUUUCCUUUUUUGUUUUAUGGGGGUUUAAAUUGUAGUUACCACUUAAUAUCAAGUGUGGCUGACUAACUAGUGGAUUUGCACCGUACAGUACAAGGUAGGGGAGCACAUGACUAAACAGAGGACAAAGAAUUGCUUAAAAUGGCUGAGUACUAAAAACCUCUCCAGCCGCGCCAGUACGUACUCAUUUGUGGGUUUUGUAAUCUGUUAAAUAUUUUUCAAUUCAGUAUUUUUCUUAGUUUGUCAUGGGUUUUGUCCUUCUGGGUUUGGGUUUUUUUAAUUCUCUUCCCUGUGAAUUCAAUGUACUAAAAAUACCAACUAACGGUCUCUUUGUGCAGUGAAAUCAGGUUGGUGAAAACUGGUUUUGUGCAAGCAGCAUGAUAAAAGGUGCGUUCAGAAAUAUAUCCAACAAGUAAGGUCUCUGCAGGGUGUAAGUCUUCUGAAAAGGGAAGCUGAAUCCUGCAAGCCCAUCCAUUGCGGGCUUGUGCUGCUAUUGAAGACAACCAUGAAUACGGUUUUGCAGGAUCAGGCCCCAGAGUUCAGCAUGAUUUACUUCCUGUCUGCUCUCCACAGCAUUUAACAGCUGAAAUAAAACAAGGAAUUAAUUUCUGUUUUAAAUUCUUGGCAAGCAGCUUCAUCUCAUUGCGUAUCUUACAUGGGAAUCAAAGGAUCCUGCCUUGUUACAGCUACUCGCGGAGUAAGGACUCGAGGGAGAUCAAGGUAUUUGCUGUCUCAGAUGAAAAUCAGGUUCUGACUGGUGGUAUUUUCAGUAACAGUUAACAAAGCCACAUUGCUAAAGAAAAGGCAAUAUCAUGGCUUCUCCGUUUUUUUUCACUCUUGCCCUAGUUAUGGUUCAUUUUUCGGCCAAACAGUUAACCAUUUCUGCAGUGCUUACCCAGUACCCUGCUCUUCCUGGUGGCUUCUAUCUAACUCUGUUUUAUUGUGAAGCAUUGGACUUUUGGAAAAUAUAGCCACCAAUUUGGUGGUAAACAAGCCUUGGCUUUAAGACAAAGCUUGUUUUAAUCUCCAUGAUCAGGCUACAGAUCUGACCAUGUAUUUUAUCAAACCUCUUGUGAAGAAAUCCUAUUCAUGAUUAUUAUCUAUAUGAGAAUAAAAAUGUCUAAUUACCUUAUAUUAAAUCUGUAUUUAUCAAUUGUAGCUUUCUCUGGGAAAUUGUAAUUUGCAGAAAUGCUCCACAUUCCAGGCUGUAACAGUUGGAGGUGGAUGUCCUUAAGGAUGGGAAAAAAAGUUCCUUUUUAAAUGGCACAUUUACUAAUUAUAAAAUGCUCUUAUCUCUCUGCAGCCAAAGCCAAAAUGAACAUGUGCCUUGCACUAAGAAAUCCCAGGAUUGUCACAACUUGUGCCAGCUGUUGAGGUUAUGACACCUGUGCCAGCAUCGCCAGCUCUGCCCACUGUCAUCUGUUCCAACUGUUCCAUCUGCACUGUUUGUACCAAUUCUCCCAUUUCUGCAUCUGUACCUUCUGCAGAAACGGGUCCAACAAUGCCAGCUGUGUCAUCGGUGCCAAAUAUGCCAGAUGUUCUAUUUGUCCACCCUGGGCCAAAUCAAUGUAGUUUUGUGCUCAUUAGUUUUAGCUGGUAGAUUCUAUUUCACAGUUUUUUGAGAUGCACUUAGAUCGAAUCAAUUCUAAAUCACCACUACAACUGCUUUACAUCUAUCUCGCCAUAAACAGAACUUUGUUUGUCAUCGCAUGCUUGGUCAAAAUUAUUCUGAUUUUAUUGAAUUGUGCACAAUGAUACAAGUUCUGUCUUCAUGACAAGAUUAUAUUUUUCCUGUAGAGGCUGUAGUUGCAGAGAAAUGAACAGAAAAAGGUAAGGGUCAUGGUAUUCAGGCUGUAAAUAAUCCCCAUGUUUACAGUAAAAAAUGUCCACCCAUUGAUAUACUGACAGGGAGAGCCCUAGUCCACCAGUGUUCACCAGGAGAAACCCAUCUGAUGUCAGUUUAGCUGUAGUGAGUAUGAUAAGCUGCAAGGGACAGAGGAAAGCAAAGCUGUAGAUAAGUAUUGACCAUGGGCAUGUUUACCAGGGCUCUGCUAAAGAUCUGUUCUCCCUACAACUCUCCUGCUCAGGAGAGAGGGAGCUGUUGUGCUGCCACUGGCCCUGCACAACCAGCUUAUGGCUGCACCUGGUCUCUAUAGCUUUUCUACUGGCAAGUCUAACCUGUACUGAUCUGGGUUACAUGUGGUCUGCCUUUUCUGUGCUUCACUAAUGACGUAAUAUUGGAAAGCCAAAUCCAUGAGUCACUAUUUAUUUGGAUUCAUCAUUUACUCAAAGGACUGUCCCACUUUGUGUCCUUGGCCACAUCUGGGUUCACUGAAGGUGAUGGGACUUCUGUAGAGGUUAUCCAGAUUCACUUAGAGGGAGGGUUUGCACGCUGGCAAAAGCAGUGUACUUCAUCCCGAUUAGCUUCUCUGGCUGGCCUGAUCUUGGAUCUGGCCAAAGGUCAAAAAUGGUCCUCAUCCACUCUUGGCAGCUCUGCCUAUGAAGAGGGAUGCUUCAUCAAGAGACUGUCCUACUCUGGUUGCCCCCACAGGGAAAUUCUCAGCAGAGCUCAACAGAGCGAUGGAAAAGGAAUGCAAUCGGAACUGAGAUUCAAUUGAAGAAUUUUAUACAGCUCCUGUUCUUUCUCAGCUUUUUUGCAUCUUUCUGGUUUCAUCUGGGUGAUGGUAACAAAGACAGAAGGAUCUUCUUUAAAAUCCUCCAUAAGAAUUCCUUAAAAAAGGAAUUUCCACAGGAAACUCUGCACAUGAAAAGCCCAAUGGGUGUGCCUGGAAAGGAUUCUUUUCUUGCAGGCUUUUGAAAAGAAUGAACCCAAUUUGUUAUAUUUAGUUUUUAUUGCAUUCAUUUAACGAAUGUCAUUACUUGCAGCUUUAAAAAUGACAGUGAGUUUAUGUGAGCUCUCCUGACACUUUUCUUAUUAUCCUGGUGGGCAACAGAAAUAGGCAGGGGAAAGAGGAGGAAAGCAGCUGAAGGGUGCCAAAACCCAGCGAAUAUCUAUGCAGCAAAAAAAACCAUUUAGGUGGUACUGAAAAUUUGCAGCAUUCAGCAGUGGUAUUGGAUUGCCUGUAGAAACUUUUUAAAAAAUACGAGAAUAGCUCAUUUGUUGGGUUUUCAAAAAAUAUCAGAUUUCACACUGGGCUGCUAUGAAGGGUGGAAAUUUUCUUGAAAAAUUGUCAUUUUAUACAACUCUAAUUAGCAAACUGUUCAUAUAAACCCGCAAGCUGUGCAGCAGAUUUCACUUCCAACAUCUCUACAGACAAGACAGAAUUUCACCUACUUAUUUACUGAUCAUGUCGCAGCAUCCUUUUCCUACUCGCUGAUGACUGUUCAGUGGCUUAUGUAAAAUGUGCUGGUGAUUUCAUGGCAUUUCCAUUGGACAAGUGUCCACAUGUUAAAGCAAAUCACCGUCACUGGCAUGCUCCUGUUGGCAGUCUCAUUAAGCAGGAACCAAGGAGCAAAAGAUUGAAUUAUCUUUUCAAUGUGAGAGAUGGCACAACCAAAGGCAAUUGGAAAACAUGGAUGGGGCUGUUUGGGGUCUUAUGUACUACUCUUUCCAUCUUGGAAUACCUUUCAGCAGCAUGAAUAUUUAUGACUGUACUUUGUCCUGUUACAGACAAAAUAAGAGAUGCCCAAGGGGAUUUGGUCAAUGCAAAUAAAAGCUAUGUUUGCAAGCAUGAGUAAAUCUCAGUCACGGUACUUGGCAUUUUGUGUCAAAUACAGCUAAAGCGCGAAAUUGCAAGAGAUAGAAAUGAUUUCAGAACAGAACUGUUGUUAGAAGGUCACUGGAAAGAAGUGGAGCCUUGAGCAAUGUGUCCUCCCUCUUUCAGGCCACGGGUCAGGCAGCGUUGCCUGUGUUUUGUACACAGCCACUUGGGCUUCAGUAAUCCUGACUGAAUCUCCCAUUUCUUUGAGGUGGUAAACUCACAAAUACUGGUUGGAUCUCUCAUUCCUCCAGUAGUCAACUUGUAGCUUCCACUCUUUUCUUACGUGUUUCAAAAUGCACUUUUAUCCCUGAAAAGUUUUUUAUGCUGGAAGAAUACUUCAAAGCCACACUCAUUGGACACCAUGGCGGAGGUUGACAAGGAAAGAUAAUGCCUGGUUAAAAUCAAGCAGAUUUAUUCCAUUCUUACUUUAUUGGUAGCCUAAUAAAGCAAUGAAAAACAAAAAAACUAAAAAGACAGUGCAAGAAGGUUCACACUCUACAAGCACCUGCUCUGUAUUUCUAAUAAAAAGUUUAUCUUCCUUCCCUAAUUGUCUUAUAUCAGGUCACGGUGAAGAGAAAAAUCCUUCUAACUGUUUUCAUUUAAUUUCACUGCUUUUGCCAAUAUUUAGAGAGAUUGUUGAUGCAUUAAUGUUACCUAAAUAAGAUGCAUUUCAUUAAAACUGUUACUGAUAAUAUUUAGUCAUUCCUUUGUAUGUAAAUAAAGUGAAAUUUCUCAGAGUAGAAACAAGUCAAGUGAAAGUUUCCCUGUGCUCUUCACAUGUCUCUGUAAACUUACAGCAUUCUCAGAUACGGUGUCUUCGAUUUCAAGGACUAGAAAGUAUAUAACAUGAUUUUUUGUUCAUUUUGCCUACAGUCAUUAUGACUUCCAGUUCAAACUACACAGAACAAUAAAAUUAAACUUAUAUAUG